AGUGGGCAAAAAAAGCCUGCAUGUUCAGUUUAAGCUUCUAUACGGGCGAAACUGCGAACAGCUCAUCAAAAAGUCCUAGUCCCUUCCAGCAGCAGCAAUUCCAUGAGAUAACCGUGAGUAAUCUAGAGCUAAUACAUGCGCCCAAACCCGACUUCGCGGAAGGGUCGCGUUUAUUAGAUACAGAACCAACCCAGGCUCCGCCUGGCCUUGAGGUGAUUCAUAAUAACCGAACGAAUCGCAUGGCUAUGCCGGCGAUAGACCAUUCAAGUUUCUGACCUAUCAGCUAUCGUCGGUAGGGUAUUGGCCUACCGUGGCAAUGACGGGUAACGGAGAAUUAGGGUUCGAUUCCGGAGAGGGAGCCUGAGAAACGGCUACCACAUCUAAGGAAGGCAGCAGGCGCGCAAAUUACCCAAUCCUGACGCAGGGAGGUAGUGACAAGAAAUAACAAUACAGGGCAUACAUGUCUUGUAAUUGGAAUGAGUAAACUUUAAAUCACUUUA
rnacentral:rRNA from 1 species